UACGAAGGUGGCAAGCGUUGUUCGGAUUUACUGGGCGUACAGAGAGCGUAGGCGGUUGGAUAAGCCCUCCGUGAAAUCUCCAGGCUUAACCUGGAAAGUGCAGAGGGGACUGUUCAGCUAGAGGAUGGGAGAGGAGCGCGGAAUUCCCGGUGUAGCGGUGAAAUGCGUAGAUAUCCGGAGGAACACCAAGGCGAAGGCAGUGUCCUGGGAAGUACCUGACGCUCAGGUGCGAAAGCUAGGGGAGCGAACAGG
rnacentral:rRNA from 1 species